rnacentral:rRNA from 1 species
GACGAACGCUGGCGGCGUGCCUAAUACAUGCAAGUUGAGCGCUGAAGGUUGGUACUUGUACCGACUGGAUGAGCAGCGAACGGGUGAGUAACGCGUGGGGAAUCUGCCUUUGAGCGGGGGACAACAUUUGGAAACGAAUGCUAAUACCGCAUAAAAACUUUAAACACAAGUUUUAAGUUUGAAAGAUGCAAUUGCAUCACUCAAAGAUGAUCCCGCGUUGUAUUAGCUAGUUGGUGAGGUAAAGGCUCACCAAGGCGAUGAUACAUAGCCGACCUGAGAGGGUGAUCGGCCACAGUGGGACUGAGACACGGCCCAAACUCCUACGGGAGGCAGCAGUAGGGAAUCUUCGGCAAUGGACGAAAGUCUGACCGAGCAACGCCGCGUGAGUGAAGAAGGGUUUCGGGUCGUAAAACUCUGUUGGUAGAGAAGAACGUUGGUGAGAGUGGAAAGCUCAUCAAGUGACGGUAACUACCCAGAAAGGGACGGCUAACUACGUG